CGCUACACGGAAGCCGCUGCACAGUGUGUGAGAGCAGCGGUCAGCGUGGCGUUCUGAUCGGAGGGCAGGAGCGCAGGUGAGGUCUCUCAGCGUACAAGCUUAUGGCUGCAGAUGAAAGUGGAUGGUGCUGACAAGGGAUUGUACUGUGGUUUGCAGCAGAUUGUUGUAAAAUAAAUCUAGACAUGUACCUGAGAAACUGAUUGUGACUUCUGAACAGUACUAAAUAUUUCGACACACCGCACACAUCCAGUCUGAGGUGUUCUAAUACUAUUCAUGAGCCAGACUGACAUACUGUAAGGU